GACGAACGCUGGCGGCGUGCUUAACACAUGCAAGUCGAGCGGGAUCCAACCGGUGGCAACACCGGGGAAGAUCUAGCGGCGAACGGGUGAGUAACACGUAAGUAAUCUACCUUCGAGUGGGGAAUAACACCGAGAAAUCGGUGCUAAUACCGCAUAAUGCAGCGGCAUCGCAAGAUGACAGUUGUUAAAGAUUUAUCGCUUGAAGAGGAGCUUGCGGCAGAUUAGCUAGUUGGUAAGGUAAU
rnacentral:rRNA from 1 species